UUAAGCGACUAAGCGUACACGGUGGAUGCCCUGGCAGUCAGAGGCGAUGAAGGACGUGCUAAUCUGCGAUAAGCGUCGGUAAGGUGAUAUGAACCGUUAUAACCGGCGAUUUCCGAAUGGGGAAACCCAGUGUGAUUCGUCACACUAUCAUUAACUGAAUCCAUAGGUUAAUGAGGCGAACCGGGGGAACUGAAACAUCUAAGUACCCCGAGGAAAAGAAAUCAACCGAGAUUCCCCCAGUAGCGGCGAGCGAACGGGGAGCAGCCCAGAGCCUGAAUCAGUGUGUGUGUUAGUGGAAGCGUCUGGAAAGGCGUGCGAUACAGGGUGACAGCCCCGUACACAAAAAUGCACAUAUUGUGAGCUCGAUGAGUAGGGCGGGACACGUGGUAUCCUGUCUGAAUAUGGGGGGACCAUCCUCCAAGGCUAAAUACUCCUGACUGACCGAUAGUGAACCAGUACCGUGACGGGAAAGGCGAAAAGAACCCCGGCGAGGGAGUGAAAAAGAACCUGAAACCGUGUACGUACAAGCAGUGGGAGCACGCUUAGGCGUGUGACUGCGUACCUUUUGUAUAAUGGGUCAGCGACUUAUAUUCUGUAGCAAGGUUAACCGAAUAGGGGAGCCGAAGGGAAACCGAGUCUUAACUGGGCGUUAAGUUGCAGGGUAUAGACCCGAAACCCGGUGAUCUAGCCAUGGGCAGGUUGAAGGUUGGGUAACACUAACUGGAGGACCGAACCGACUAAUGUUGAAAAAUUAGCGGAUGACUUGUGGCUGGGGGUGAAAGGCCAAUCAAACCGGGAGAUAGCUGGUUCUCCCCGAAAGCUAUUUAGGUAGCGCCUCGUGAAUUCAUCUCCGGGGGUAGAGCACUGUUUCGGCAAGGGGGUCAUCCCGACUUACCAACCCGAUGCAAACUGCGAAUACCGGAGAAUGUUAUCACGGGAGACACACGGCGGGUGCUAACGUCCGUCGUGAAGAGGGAAACAACCCAGACCGCCAGCUAAGGUCCCAAAGUCAUGGUUAAGUGGGAAACGAUGUGGGAAGGCCCAGACAGCCAGGAUGUUGGCUUAGAAGCAGCCAUCAUUUAAAGAAAGCGUAAUAGCUCACUGGUCGAGUCGGCCUGCGCGGAAGAUGUAACGGGGCUAAACCAUGCACCGAAGCUGCGGCAGCGACGCUUAUGCGUUGUUGGGUAGGGGAGCGUUCUGUAAGCCUGCGAAGGUGUGCUGUGAGGCAUGCUGGAGGUAUCAGAAGUGCGAAUGCUGACAUAAGUAACGAUAAAGCGGGUGAAAAGCCCGCUCGCCGGAAGACCAAGGGUUCCUGUCCAACGUUAAUCGGGGCAGGGUGAGUCGACCCCUAAGGCGAGGCCGAAAGGCGUAGUCGAUGGGAAACAGGUUAAUAUUCCUGUACUUGGUGUUACUGCGAAGGGGGGACGGAGAAGGCUAUGUUGGCCGGGCGACGGUUGUCCCGGUUUAAGCGUGUAGGCUGGUUUUCCAGGCAAAUCCGGAAAAUCAAGGCUGAGGCGUGAUGACGAGGCACUACGGUGCUGAAGCAACAAAUGCCCUGCUUCCAGGAAAAGCCUCUAAGCAUCAGGUAACAUCAAAUCGUACCCCAAACCGACACAGGUGGUCAGGUAGAGAAUACCAAGGCGCUUGAGAGAACUCGGGUGAAGGAACUAGGCAAAAUGGUGCCGUAACUUCGGGAGAAGGCACGCUGAUAUGUAGGUGAAGUCCCUCGCGGAUGGAGCUGAAAUCAGUCGAAGAUACCAGCUGGCUGCAACUGUUUAUUAAAAACACAGCACUGUGCAAACACGAAAGUGGACGUAUACGGUGUGACGCCUGCCCGGUGCCGGAAGGUUAAUUGAUGGGGUCAGCGCAAGCGAAGCUCUUGAUCGAAGCCCCGGUAAACGGCGGCCGUAACUAUAACGGUCCUAAGGUAGCGAAAUUCCUUGUCGGGUAAGUUCCGACCUGCACGAAUGGCGUAAUGAUGGCCAGGCUGUCUCCACCCGAGACUCAGUGAAAUUGAACUCGCUGUGAAGAUGCAGUGUACCCGCGGCAAGACGGAAAGACCCCGUGAACCUUUACUAUAGCUUGACACUGAACAUUGAGCCUUGAUGUGUAGGAUAGGUGGGAGGCUUUGAAGUGUGGACGCCAGUCUGCAUGGAGCCGACCUUGAAAUACCACCCUUUAAUGUUUGAUGUUCUAACGUGGACCCGUAAUCCGGGUUGCGGACAGUGUCUGGUGGGUAGUUUGACUGGGGCGGUCUCCUCCUAAAGAGUAACGGAGGAGCACGAAGGUUGGCUAAUCCUGGUCGGACAUCAGGAGGUUAGUGCAAUGGCAUAAGCCAGCUUGACUGCGAGCGUGACGGCGCGAGCAGGUGCGAAAGCAGGUCAUAGUGAUCCGGUGGUUCUGAAUGGAAGGGCCAUCGCUCAACGGAUAAAAGGUACUCCGGGGAUAACAGGCUGAUACCGCCCAAGAGUUCAUAUCGACGGCGGUGUUUGGCACCUCGAUGUCGGCUCAUCACAUCCUGGGGCUGAAGUAGGUCCCAAGGGUAUGGCUGUUCGCCAUUUAAAGUGGUACGCGAGCUGGGUUUAGAACGUCGUGAGACAGUUCGGUCCCUAUCUGCCGUGGGCGCUGGAGAAUGAGGGGGGCUGCUCCUAGUACGAGAGGACCGGAGUGGACGCAUCACUGGUGUUCGGGUUGUCAUGCCAAUGGCACUGCCCGGUAGCUAAAUGCGGAAGAGAUAAGUGCUGAAAGCAUCUAAGCACGAAACUUGCCCCGAGAUGAGUUCUCCCUGACUCCUUGAGAGUCCUGAAGGAACGUUGAAGACGACGACGUUGAUAGGCCGGGUGUGUAAGCGCAGCGAUGCGUUGAGCUAACCGGUACUAAUGAACCGUGAGGCUUAACCUU
rnacentral:rRNA from 1 species